rnacentral:rRNA from 1 species
UGAGUAACCUGCCCUUCACUCUGGGAUAACUCCGGGAAACCGGGGCUAAUACUGGAUAUGACCUACUCGGGCAUCCGAUGUGGGUGGAAAGAUUUAUUGGUGGGGGAUGGACUCGCGGCCUAUCAGCUUGUUGGUGAGGUAAUGGCUCACCAAGGCGACGACGGGUAGCCGGCCUGAGAGGGCGAUCGGCCACACUGGGACUGAGACACGGCCCAGACCUCCGUACGGGAGCAG